rnacentral:piRNA from 1 species
UGUGAACAGGAGCCAUGGUUACAUUU